GAUGAACGCUGGCGGCGUGCCUAAUACAUGCCAGUCGAGCGAACAGACGAGGAGCUUGCUCCUCUGACGUUAGCGGCGGACGGGGGAGUAACACGUGGAUAACCCACCUAUAAGACUGGGAUAACUUCGGGAAACCGGAGCUAAUACCGGACAAUAUAUUGAACCGCAUGGUUCAAUAGUGAAAGACGGUUUUGCUGUCACUUAUAGAUGGAUCCGCGCCGCAUUAGCUAGUUGGUAAGGUAACGGCUUACCAAGGCAACGAUGCGUAGCCGACCUGAGAGGGUGAUCGGCCACACUGGAACUGAGACACGGUCCAGACUCCUACGGGAGGCAGAAGUAGGGAAUCUUCCGCAAUGGGCGAAAGCCUGACGGAGCAACGCCGCGUGAGUGAUGAAGGUCUUCGGAUCGUAAAACUCUGUUAUUAGGGAAGAACAAAUGUGUAAGUAACUAUGCACGUCUUGACGGUACCUAAUCAGAAAGCCACGGCUAACUACGUG
rnacentral:rRNA from 1 species